ensembl:lncRNA
AUGGGGGGCGCCAAAGCGAUGGUUAAUUUUUUUUUUUUUUUUUUUUUUUUUUUUUUUUUUUUUUUUUUUUUUUUUUUUUUUUUUUUUUUUUUUUUUUUUUUUUUUUUUUUUUUUUUUUUUUUUUUUUUUUUUUUUUUUUUUUUUUUUUUUUUUUUUUUUUUUUUUUUUUUUUUUUUUUUUUUUUUUUUUUUUUUUUUUUUUUUUUUUUUUUUUUUUUUUUUUUUUUUUUUUUUUUUUUUUUUUUUUUUUUUUUUUUUUUUUUUUUUUUUUUUUUUUUUUUUUUUUUUUUUUUUUUUUUUUUUUUUUUUUUUUUUUUUUUUUUUUUUUUUUUUUUUUUUUUUUUUUUUUUUUUUUUUUUUUUUUUUUUUUUUUUUUUUUUUUUUUUUUUUUUUUUUUUUUUUUUUUUUUUUUUUUUUUUUUUUUUUUUUUUUUUUUUUUUUUUUUUUUUUUUUUUUUUUUUUUUUUUUUUUUUUUUUUUUUUUUUUUUUUUUUUUUUUUUUUUUUUUUUUUUUUUUUUUUUUUUUUUUUUUUUUUUUUUUUUUUUUUUUUUUUUUUUUUUUUUUUUUUUUUUUUUUUUUUUUUUUUUUUUUUUUUUUUUUUUUUUUUUUUUUUUUUUUUUUUUUUUUUUUUUUUUUUUUUUUUUUUUUUUUUUUUUUUUUUUUUUUUUUUUUUUUUUUUUUUUUUUUUUUUUUUUUUUUUUUUUUUUUUUUUUUUUUUUUUUUUUUUUUUUUUUUUUUUUUUUUUUUUUUUUUUUUUUUUUUUUUUUUUUUUUUUUUUUUUUUUUUUUUUUUUUUUUUUUUUUUUUUUUUUUUUUUUUUUUUUUUUUUUUUUUUUUUUUUUUUUUUUUUUUUUUUUUUUUUUUUUUUUUUUUUUUUUUUUUUUUUUUUUUUUUUUUUUUUUUUUUUUUUUUUUUUUUUUUUUUUUUUUUUUUUUUUUUUUUUUUUUUUUUUUUUUUUUUUUUUUUUUUUUUUUUUUUUUUUUUUUUUUUUUUUUUUUUUUUUUUUUUUUUUUUUUUUUUUUUUUUUUUUUUUUUUUUUUUUUUUUUUUUUUUUUUUUUUUUUUUUUUUUUUUUUUUUUUUUUUUUUUUUUUUUUUUUUUUUUUUUUUUUUUUUUUUUUUUUUUUUUUUUUUUUUUUUUUUUUUUUUUUUUUUUUUUUUUUUUUUUUUUUUUUUUUUUUUUUUUUUUUUUUUUUUUUUUUUUUUUUUUUUUUUUUUUUUUUUUUUUUUUUUUUUUUUUUUUUUUUUUUUUUUUUUUUUUUUUUUUUUUUUUUUUUUUUUUUUUUUUUUUUUUUUUUUUUUUUUUUUUUUUUUUUUUUUUUUUUUUUUUUUUUUUUUUUUUUUUUUUUUUUUUUUUUUUUUUUUUUUUUUUUUUUUUUUUUUUUUUUUUUUUUUUUUUUUUUUUUUUUUUUUUUUUUUUUUUUUUUUUUUUUUUUUUUUUUUUUUUUUUUUUUUUUUUUUUUUUUUUUUUUUUUUUUUUUUUUUUUUUUUUUUUUUUUUUUUUUUUUUUUUUUUUUUUUUUUUUUUUUUUUUUUUUUUUUUUUUUUUUUUUUUUUUUUUUUUUUUUUUUUUUUUUUUUUUUUUUUUUUUUUUUUUUUUUUUUUUUUUUUUUUUUUUUUUUUUUUUUUUUUUUUUUUUUUUUUUUUUUUUUUUUUUUUUUUUUUUUUUUUUUUUUUUUUUUUUUUUUUUUUUUUUUUUUUUUUUUUUUUUUUUUUUUUUUUUUUUUUUUUUUUUUUUUUUUUUUUUUUUUUUUUUUUUUUUUUUUUUUUUUUUUUUUUUUUUUUUUUUUUUUUUUUUUUUUUUUUUUUUUUUUUUUUUUUUUUUUUUUUUUUUUUUUUUUUUUUUUUUUUUUUUUUUUUUUUUUUUUUUUUUUUUUUUUUUUUUUUUUUUUUUUUUUUUUUUUUUUUUUUUUUUUUUUUUUUUUUUUUUUUUUUUUUUUUUUUUUUUUUUUUUUUUUUUUUUUUUUUUUUUUUUUUUUUUUUUUUUUUUUUUUUUUUUUUUUUUUUUUUUUUUUUUUUUUUUUUUUUUUUUUUUUUUUUUUUUUUUUUUUUUUUUUUUCUUAACAGAUGCUAAACUGUUCAAUAACAAUAAAAUGUGCUAA